rnacentral:rRNA from 1 species
GGGAUUAGUGGCGAACGGGUGAGUAACACGUGAGUAACCUGCCCUUGACUCUGGGAUAAGCCUGGGAAACCGGGUCUAAUACUGGAUACGACCUUCUGGCGCAUGCCAUGUUGGUGGAAAGCUUUUGUGGUUUUGGAUGGACUCGCGGCCUAUCAGCUUGUUGGUGGGGUAAUGGCCUACCAAGGCGACGACGGGUAGCCGGCCUGAGAGGGUGACCGGCCACACUGGGACUGAGACACGGCCCAGACUCC